CUCCGCCACACCUAACGAGGGGCGGCCCUGCCAUCGAGGGCUGCUGCGGAGUCACCUCCAGCUACUCCAGAGACAUAAGAGUCUUGUGAAAGGCACGUAAUUACUACAGAUCACAGAAGACAUGUAGAACUGCCUGGUUUAGGUCUAUGAUAGUACAAUAAAUCAUUCAUCGUCCACUACAGUGAGGAUGAGCAAAAAUAGGGGAAACAAUUUUGAGAAAGAUUUCAAUCUGAUGAAAGAUGGGCAAGGAGCAGAAAAAGCACACAUAAGGUAG
rnacentral:lncRNA from 1 species